rnacentral:rRNA from 1 species
GUGACCUGCGGAGGAUCAUUAAAGAGACGUUGCCCUUCGGGGUAUACCUCCCACCCAUUGUUUAUUAUACCUUUGUUGCUUUGGCAGACCCGGCUUCGGCCCACCGGCUCCGGCUGGUCAGCGUCUGCCAGAGGACCUAAAACUCUGUUUGUUAAUAUUGUCUGAGUACUAUAUAAUAGUUAAAACUUUCAACAACGGAUCUCUUGGUUCUGGCAUCGAUGAAGAACGCAGCGAAAUGCGAUAAGUAAUGUGAAUUGCAGAAUUCAGUGAAUCAUCGAAUCUUUGAACGCACAUUGCGCCCUCUGGUAUUCCGGGGGGCAUGCCUGUUCGAGCGUCAUUACAACCCUCAAGCUUUGCUUGGUAUUGGACAUUGCCAGUUUCUGGCAGGUCUUAAAAUCAGUGGCGGUGCCAUUUGGCUUCAAGCGUAGUAAUUCUUCUCGCUUUGGAGAUCCAGGUGGUUACUUGCCAAUAACCCCCAAUUUUUUCAGGUUGACCUCGGAUCAGGUAGGGAUACCCGCUGAACUUAAGCAUAUCAAUAAGCGGAGGA